GAUCCUGUUAUACCUAGGAUUUAAGUGUUUUUAAUAUGGAAAAAAAACGCAUACCCACACAGUACUCCAGAUGGACUUGAGAAUUGUCCUUCUCUGAACUAAAGCUGGAAUGGUUGGGAAUUUGGAGAAUUAAG
rfam:Tupaia chinensis contig96732, whole genome shotgun sequence.